rnacentral:lncRNA from 1 species
CCAAUCAGCAUCGCCAGCCUCCUCGCCAGCUCUCCGCCAACCAAUCAGCAUCACCACGCCGCCAGCCAAUCAGCGCUCCCCACCUCCUCCUCCUGGAUGUCGCCGUGCUGCUCGCCAGCCAAUCAGACCCCUCGCUGCCCUCCCACCAGCCAACCACGUCUCCGUUUGAUCUCCACGCGGCCAAUCAGGACUCUCGCUGCUGCCCCGCCGGCCAAUCAGCACUCCUCCCCGCCGCCGUGCCGUCCAAUCAGCGCCCACCCCAGCCAAUAAAGCCGCGCCGUGGGGCGGCCCCGUUUUAUUCCGGUUCCUCCUCGAAGGUGCGCCCCACGGCGCAGCCCCUCGUCGGCCAGGCGGGUGAGGGGCCGCCAACGCCCCGCGCGCCGCAGCGGCGCCGUCUGCAGCAGGGCCUCGGCCGUGGGGCGGCGCCGGGGGUCCGGCUCCAACAUGGCCGCCAGCAGCUCCCGCAGCUCCGGGGUGAGCCCUGCGGUGGGGGGGGGACGGGGGGGUAAAAUUGGGGGUCUGGGGGCAACCGGGGAGGGUUGGGGGGUGGGGGGAGCCAAUGGGGGGCAAAGGGACCCCAUGGGUGACCCAGGGACCCAGUGGGUGACACCGGGACCCAACCAUGGCCAAGGGCACCCAAUGGGUGUCAUCAGGACCCAACCAGACCCACGGGGACCCAACGGGUGUCAAGGGGACCCAGUGGGUGACCCAAGGACCCAACCCCACCCAUGGGGACCCACUGGAUGUCACGGGGACCCAACCAUGGCCAAGGGCACCCAAUGGGUGUCAUCGGGACUCGACCGCACCCAUGGGGACCCAAUGGGUGACACGGGGACCCAACCAGACCCAUGGGGACCCAACCGCACCCACGGGGACCCAACGGGUGUCACAGGGACCCAACCGUGGCCAAGGGCACCCAAUGGGUGUCAUCAGGACCCAACCAGACCCACGGGGACCCAAUGGGUGUCAUGGGGACCCAACGGGUGUCAUCGGGACCCAACCCCACCCAUGGGGACCCAACCAUGGCCAAGGGCACCCAACCAUGGACGUGGGGACCCAACAGGUGACAUGGGGACCCAAUGGGUGGCCCAAGGACCCAACCACACCCCUGGGGACCCAAUGGGUGACACGGGGACCCAACCAUGGACAAGGGGACUCAAUGGGUGUCAUCGGGACCCAACCCUGGUGAAGGGCACCCAACCAUGGACCCAACGGGUGACCCAGGAACCCAACGGGUGGCACAGGGACCCAACCACACCCCCGGGGACCCAACGGGUGACCCAAGGACCCAACCAUGGACAAGGGGACUCAACGGGUGUCAUCGGGACCCAACCAAGGCCAAGGGCACCCAACCACGGAUGCAAUGGGUGUCACGGGGACCCAAUGGGUGACCCUGGGACCCAACCGCACCCACGGGGACCCAACGGGUGACACGGGGACCCAACCCCACCCAUGGGGACCCAACCAAGGCCAAGAGCACCCAAUGGGUGUCAUCGGGACCCAACCCCACCCCUGGGGACCCAAUGGGUGACCCAAGGAUCCAACCACGACUAAGAGCACCCAAUGGGU